AUUGAACGCUGGCGGAAUGCUUUACACAUGCAAGUCGAACGGCAGCACGGACUUCGGUCUGGUGGCGAGUGGCGAACGGGUGAGUAAUGUAUCGGACCGUGCCCGGUCGUGGGGGAUAACGUCGGGAAAUUUUCGCUAAUCCCGCAUACGAUCUCUGGAUGAAAGCGGGGGGGCGCAAGACCUCGCGCGCUGGGAGCGGCCGAUACCAGAUUAGGUAGUUGGUGGGGUAAAGGGCCACCAAGCCAACGAUCUGUAGCUGGUCUGAGAGGACGACCAGCCACACUGGAACUGAGACACGGUCCAGACUCCUACGGGAGGCAGCAGUGGGGAAUUUUGGACAAUGGGCGAUAGCCUGAUCCAGCCAUUCCGCGUGCAGGAUGAAGGCCCUCGGGUGGUAAACUGCUUUUGUACAGAACGAAAAGGUUUCUACUAAUACUAGGAGCUCAUGACGGUACUGUAAGAAUAAGCACCGGCUAACUACGUGCCAGCAGCCGCCGCCG
rnacentral:rRNA from 1 species